UUGACGGGGCCCGCACAAGCGGUGGAGCAUGUGGUUUAAUUCGACGCAACGCGAAGAACCUUACCAGGGCUUGACAUUCUCUGACCGUCUAUGAAAGUAGAUUUUCUGCCUUCGGGCAGACAGGGAAACAGGUGGUGCAUGGUUGUCGUCAGCUCGUGUCGUGAGAUGUUGGGUUAAGUCCCGCAACGAGCGCAACCCUCGACCUUAGUUGCCAGCAUUCAGUUGGGCACUCUAAGGUGACUGCCGGCUAAAAGUCGGAGGAAGUGGGGAUGACGUCAAAUCAUCAUGCCCCUUAUGACCUGGGCUACACACGUGCUACAAUGGGCGGUACAAAGGGUCGCGAACCCGCGAGGGGGAGCCAAUCCCAAAAAGCCGCUCUCAGUUCGGAUUGCAGGCUGCAACUCGCCUGCAUGAAGCCGGAAUCGCUAGUAAUCGCGGAUCAGCAUGCCGCGGUCGAAUACGUUCCCGGGCCUU
rnacentral:rRNA from 1 species